AGCGGAAGCCGGGAAUGGAGAGCCUGGUGCAAGCGGGGUACCAGCCACUUUGGCAAAUCCGGGUGGCAAUGGGAAGCCGUGAUGCGGAGCGAAAUAAAGUAGCGAAGUCCGUGAGCCAUGCGUCAAGAAAAGCCGCUAUCGUUUAUACCGUACCCGUACCGUAAACCGACACAGGUGGAUGAGGAGAGAAUCCUAAGGCCGGCGGAAGAAGCAUUGUCAAGGAACUCGGCAAAAUGGCCCCGUAACUUAGGGAUAAGGGGUGCCUGGGAAACCAGGCCGCAGAGAAUAGGCUCAAGCAACUGUUUAGCAAAAACACAGGUCUAUGCGAAACCGAAAGGUGAGGUAUAUGGGCUGACGCCUGCCCGGUGCUGGAAGGUUAAGAGGAGAGGUUAGCGGUAACGCGAAGCUUUGAAUUUAAGCCCCAGUAAACGGCGGCCGUAACAAUAACGGUCCUAAGGUAGCGAAAUUCCUUGUCGGGUAAGUUCCGACCCGCACGAAAGGCGUAAUGAUUUGAGCGCUGUCUCGACAAUGCAUCCGGUGAAAUUGAAGUACCAGUGAAGAUGCUGGUUACCUGCGCCAGGACGGAAAGACCCCAUGGAGCUUUACUCCAGUCUGGUACUGGGACUCGGUAUUGCAUGUACAGGAUAGGUGGGAGGCUAGGAGAUGGUAACGCCAGUUGCCAUGGAGCCGCUGUUGGGAUACCACCCUUGCGGUAUUGGGUUUCUAACCAGCCGCCGUGACCCGGCGGUGGGACAAUGCCAGACGGGGAGUUUGACUGGGGCGGUCGCCUCCGAAAGGGUAUCGGAGGCGCCCAAAGGUUCCCUCAGAAUGGACGGAAACCAUUCGAAGAGUGCAAAGGCAGAAGGGAGCUUGACUGCGACACCGACGGGUGGAGCAGGUACGAAAGUAGGGCUUAGUGAUCCGGUGGUAUUAAGUGGGAAUGCCAUCGCUCAACGGAUAAAAGCUACCCUGGAUAACAGGCUUAUCACUCCCAAGAGUUCACAUCGACGGAGUGGUUUGGCACCUCGAUGUCGGCUCAUCGCAUCCUGGGGCUGUAGUAGGUCCCAAGGGUUGGGCUGUUCGCCCAUUAAAGCGGUACGCGAGCUGGGUUCAGAACGUCGUGAGACAGUUCGGUCCCUAUCCGGCGUGGGCGUAGGAUAUCUGAGAGGAGCUGUCCUUAGUACGAGAGGACCGGGAUGGACGGGCCGCUGGUGCAUCGGUUAGACUGCCAAGUCUACGGCCGAGUAGCCAAGCCCGGAAGGGAUAAACGCUGAAGGCAUCUAAGCGUGAAGCCCCCCUUAAGAUGAGAUAUCCCAUUCGAAAGAAGUAAACCCCCUUGAAGACGACGAGGUAGAUAGGGCAGAGGUGGAAGUGCAGCAAUGCAUGGAGCUGACUGUUACUAAUCGGGUGAGGGCUUGAC
rnacentral:rRNA from 1 species